rnacentral:rRNA from 1 species
UACGAAGGGGGCUAGCGUUGCUCGGAAUCACUGGGCGUAAAGGGUGCGUAGGCGGGUCUUUAAGUCAGGGGUGAAAUCCUGGAGCUCAACUCCAGAACUGCCUUUGAUACUGAGGAUCUUGAGUUCGGGAGAGGUGAGUGGAACUGCGAGUGUAGAGGUGAAAUUCGUAGAUAUUCGCAAGAACACCAGUGGCGAAGGCGGCUCACUGGCCCGGUACUGACGCUCAUGCACGAAAGCGUGGGGAGCAAACAGG